GGGGGUGGUAAUUUUUUCCAUCUGUAUCUUUUUAUUUAGAUACAACUUGUCAUAUCUUACAAAUAUUUCAUUCUUUUCAAAUAAUAUUCUUUCAUAUACCCAAUUCAACUAUAUGUUUACUUAUUUAUUUUUUUAUGAUAGAAUUGCCGAUUCAAGAAAGUGAGAGCGAAGAUGUCAGCAUUGCGGGACAUGCGGAAGUUUCCGCCAAUGAUGGUAGUGAAGUGUCAAUUCAACAACAGAAUUUAAGGCAACAGGCCUCAGAUUUCCUAUGGAUGUUUAUUGAUGUUUGUUAUAUACAGUUAUAUAGUAUAAUAUGUUAUAUAAGAUUUCGCCAACAUUUGACCAUGGCAACAAUUUCUUCGUCCAUUUUGGAACAACACCCAUUUGUUAUAUUUAUGAAAUUUGUGUAUUAUUUACUAAUUAUGUGUAAAACAUAAGACAUAUUUGAAUAGUUAUACAUAGUAUAAGACAACAAUAUGUCCUCUAUUCUAAACGCUCGGGUGCGGGGAGUGUUGUUGUUGACUUGUUAUACCUAUUACUUGUCGACUUGUUAUAUAUAUAUUACUUGUCGACUUUUUAUAUCUAUUACUUGACGACUUGUUAAAUCUAUUACUUGUUGUCUUGUUAUAUAUAUAUAUUACUUCUUGUCUUGUUAUAUAUAUUACUUCUUCAUACACUG